GCCAAAGAGAACCAGCGUUGUUCUAGGGUUUUCUUUGCUUUCGAUUUCUCAUUGAUUUGAUUUCCCUUUUCCUCCUCUCUUCGUUGAUGGGUUCCCCUUUGUGUGAAUUUUCAAGGAUGGAGAUCCAGAUGUUUUCAUGCGAUUCCUCACGGUGGUUUUUGACGGAUUGGAAUUCUUGAUCUCUUCUCGAGAAGGAUGCGACGAGGAUUUGGGCUCUUUCCUAAAAGAUUGAUUCUUUGAGGAUGAAGAACCAGAUGGAUGGCUUGCGAUUCCGAUUGGUGAUUUGUUAUCCGUGUUUUUGAUGCAACUUAAGAUGGAAAGUUUGCUUAAUGUCAAGAAAUCGUGCAGGAUUGAUUAACCAGCCCACAGUGAAAAUUUUGCCGCUGAAUCAUACUGGAAGAAGAUGGCGAAGAAGGGAAGAACAGAUGUAUUUAGAUUUGUUGCUUGUUUUUGGGUAGUUUUCAAGCGGAUCUAUUGUGUUCUUGGUGUAUAUAGAAAGAAACCGGUUUCAUCUCCAUCCAAGAACAAGAUCAGCUGAAGGCAUUGAUAAAGGUGAUGUAUAUUUAUGUAAUAUGACCUUUGCCAUGAUGGGUGCGCUCGCAUGGCAGGUCGCCAUAUGCUUAAUAAAAGUUUCCUUUUGGGGUUCUUGAGGGGGAGAUCGCACGGGGAUUUGAUUUUUUUUAGUUCCCCCGGGUUCUCCCCCUCAUCUUGUGUGCUUCCUCUUUUUCUUUUUUUUGUUUUUUUUGUGUGUGUGUGUCUGUGUCUGUGUGUACGCGUGCUCACGUCUUCACCUACAACGGCGCUUCAUUGAUUAUGGCACUUCACCGAUUACGGCAUGCUUAUUACCUAUAUCUCGUCAUAGUCGCAGGUAAAAACUUUAAUUUUUUUACAUUGUUCAUGUUUACCAUCACACCAUAUUUACAGUAUACUAAAUUCACAUCCCUGUCACAUUGCUUUAGUUGUACCAUCUUUGUAAUUGUGUCUGCUUAUAGUCAAACUUUUGUUUAUAAAGCAAUAUUUAAUGCCCAAAUUGUGUGCCUGCUCAGCCAAGAAACAAUAUUAGUUCAUGAAUUUGUUGUUUGAAGUUAUUUUUUUAUUUUUUUUAUUUUUGGGUGUGUGCGCGUGCUCUCACGUCUUCACCGAUUAGGGCACUUGACCGAUUACAGCACGAAUAUCACCUAUGUCUCAUCAUGUAAAAACUUAAAUUGUUUCUACGUUGUCCAUGAUGAAUUUUCUUUACUGUCAUCGCAUAUUUACCAGAAUACCAUGCAUUCACAACGCCAUCACAUUACUUUAGUCAUGUCGUCUAUGAGUCUGCUUACAAUCAAACUUUUGUUUAUAAAUUUAUGCCCAAACUGUGAGCGGUGUUAAUUUGUUCUAUGAGUCUUCUCAGUCAAGAAACAACAUUAGUUCAUGAAUUUGUUGUUUGAAGUUAAUGUUGAUUUCUUUGUACUUUUAUUUCAUUGUUUGUUAAAUAUGCAGAAAGGCAAAUAUGCCUGUCUUGUAUUGAAAUUUUGUAAACUUUGAAGUUAUUAGAGAUUUGUUUGAAGUUCAGAAGGGCGAAAGCAUGCUAAGAGUUAUUGUGGAUGGUGAAGAGAGCUGGUUCUUGUUUGAAGAAUGCUUGGCAUGAAGAAUGUGGUUUAAAUGUCCUGAAUCACUGAUGAUAAGAUCAGUUGUCAAGAUUUUGCAUCUUGUUUCAACUAUGUGGAAUUUGUCUUCAUGUUUGGCAUCAAGAGUUCACUGGGCAAGCCUUUUCAAAGUAGCUUUUCAAGGGUGGCAUGGUUCACCUGGCCUUUCCUUUGUGGGCGUUGAUGAGUCUUUUCAAGCAUCUUCCACUUCAUCCUCAAACUAUGGCUUGCUGUGCCAAUGUAAACUUUUUUAAAAGAUUGAUUGUUUUCUUUCAGUAGCCCCCUGAUGGACUUUUGUUGGUGCAUUCUGCCGCUAAUUUGUUUUAUGCCUCAUAACAUGACUCAUC